ACUGUAGAGCUUCCUCUGCCGAUUUCGGUAAAAGAGAAUCUCUGCAACGAUAAGCUGUUUUGUCUGGACACUCAGACUUCACAAGUCGAUGUAUCGAAUGGUACUUCGGCGGUAUAACUCAAUGGUUCCGAAGGGACCCGUCACAAAGGAGCGUUUCAAGAUGGCUGAAGGUACAGUAAAGUGGUUUAACGAUGCGAAAGGUUUUGGUUUUAUCGAGAUGGACGGCGGCAAAGAUGUAUUUGUUCACCAUUCCGCCAUCCAGUCCGAUGGUUUCAAAUCUCUCAAGGAAGGCGCACGGGUAACCUUCGAUGUUGUUGACGGCCCAAAAGGACCUGCUGCAGAGAACGUUGUUCAGAAGUAAUAUUGCCUCAAGAUUGACCAUUCCAAAGACCCAGCAAAUUGCUGGGUCUUUUUC
rnacentral:sRNA from 1 species